CCUACGGGUGGCAGCAGUGAGGAAUAUUGGUCAAUGGGCGUAAGUCUGAACCAGCCAAGUCGCGUGAGGGAUGACGGUUCUAUGAAUUGUAAACCUCUUUUGUAAGGGAGUAAAGGGCGGGACGUGUAUCGUUUUGUAAGUAUCUUAUGAAUAAGGAUCGGCUAACUCCGUGCCAGCAGCCGCGGUAAUACGGAGGAUUCGAGCGUUAUCCGGAUUUAUUGGGUUUAAGGGGUGCGUAGGCGGGCGGUUAAGUCAGCGGUGAAAUCCCGAGGCUCAACUUCGGAAUUGCCGUUGAUACUGUGCGGCUUGAGUGUGGUUGAGGCAGGCGGAAUGCUUGGUGUAGCGGUGAAAUGCUUAGAGAUCAUGCAGAACCCCGAUUGCGAAGGCAGCUUACCAAGCUACUACUGACGCUGAGGCACGAAAGCGUGGGGAUUAAACAGGAUUAGAUACCCGAGUAGUC
rnacentral:rRNA from 1 species